rnacentral:rRNA from 1 species
UACGUAGGUGGCAGGCGUUGUUCGGAAUUAUUGGGCGUAAAGAGCUCGUAGGCGGUCUGUCACGUCGGAUGUGAAAAUCCAGGGCUUAACCCUGGACCUGCAUUCGAUACGGGCAGACUAGAGUUCGGUAGGGGAGACUGGAAUUCCUGGUGUAGCGGUGAAAUGCGCAGAUAUCAGGAGGAACACCGGUGGCGAAGGCGGGUCUCUGGGCCGAUACUGACGCUGAGGAGCGAAAGCGUGGGGAGCGAACAGG